GGUGAGCUUGGAGAACAUCCUGUCCCUGGACUGGAGCAGCCGCUGCCGGGAGGAUCGCGAGAGCUCCUCGAUCCGCCGCCUCCGCUCCAGGAUUAUGAACAAACGGAAAAUGAAGGUGAAGAGGACUCAGCUGCAGAAGCCAAUAUUUUAAGUUUCUCAUGUUGACCUGGCUGGCAUAGUCGAUUUAAUUUUUUUUUUUAAUAUUUCAUUUAACUAUUUUAGUUAAAAACAAUUUUAACAAAAACAAACCUGAUUUUAAAAAACUUGAAUGUUUAACUAAAUUCAAAAAUUCAUAUGCUUGUUUUGUUAAAAUAUUAUAUGUUUGCUGUUGAAGAAAAAAAAAAUCCAGAAUACAUAAAGUUGUUGUUUUAGUUAAAUAAAACAAUUUAAAUGUCUGUCUGGUGAUAUUCUCCUAAUACAAUAUGGCAAGAAAAUCCUCCAAAUAUUAAUGAUUAACCUGUUGAAUUGGAGAUAUUUGUGAAGUCAUUGGGAACUAUCUGCUUCAAUUACCUUUGGUAAAUAAAAUAACCAAACAAUCAUUCAUUUUCUGAUAUAGCUGUAAAACUAAUCUGAAAAGUUUUCAAAAUAAAUCACUUUAAAAAUGUA